ensembl:lncRNA
AUAUAUAUAUAUAUAUAUAUAUAUAUAUAUAUAUAUAUAAAUUUUUAGGUUUUUCUGAAGAAAAGGCAGCAUUUUUUGAUAAUGAUGACUACGAGGAUGUGGAUUCUCUCAUGGACAAGUCAGGAGAGGAGGAUGAAGAUGACAGAAAGAGGGAUUCUUCUGGGACAGAAUAUGAUGACAUUGAGGGACAAGCCAAUGGAACCUCUCCUUCUCAAACCCACCAUGAUGAAGACCUCGACAUCCCUCUCCUUCCCAAGAGACCCGAGAACAUUCUUGGUACAUCGCUUAAAUGUACACUUCACUGUAUGUGUGUGUAUGUGUGUGUGUGUGUUGUGUGUGUGUGUGUGCCUUUAUGAAAAUGGUGCUGAACUUUUCCUUUGUGUUCUCAUCAGAUCAGGACACCUAUGAAGUGGAGACAGAGAAACAGAAGGACUGUGAUGAUGUCAUAUCUGUCGAGGCUACAGCCAAUGAAAAUGCAGGGAUGACAGGCACACAAGCUCAUGUAGAUGUAGACGUGGAUGAAGGUGCAGAUUCAGAUUUAGAUGCAGGUCUGUUUGCAAAUGCUGAUGCAGAUAUGUUGACCACAGAGGUAGAAGUUCACGCUCAAGCAGAGUAAUAAAGCAGCCACGAGACCAAAUUGUUAUUUUAAGUUAAUAUUAAUAAGUGAUAAGAUUGUAUGUUCUUAUUACAGUAGAAAAUUAAAGGGAUAGUUCACCCAAAAAUCUAAAUUAUGUCAUUAAUAACUCACCCUUAUGUCGUUACAAACCCGUGAGACCUCAGUUUAUCUUUGGAACACUUUUUAAGAUAUUUUAGAUUUAGUCCGAGAGCUCUCAGUCCCUCCAUUGAAGCUGUGUGUACGGUAUACUGUCCAUGUCCAGAAAGGUAAGAAAAACAUCAUCAAAGUAGUCCAUGUGACAUCAGAGGGUCAAUUAGAAUUUUUUUGAAGCAUUGAAAAUACAUUUUGGUCCAAAAAUAGCAAAAACUACGACUUUAUUCAGCAUUGUCAUAUCUUCCGUGUCUGUUGUGAGACAGUUCAAAACAAAGCACUUUGUGAUAUCCGGUUUGCGAACAAAUCAUUCGAUGUAAGUUUUUUUGAACCAGUUCACCAAAUCGAACUGAAUCGUUUUAAACGGUUCGCGUCUCCAAUACACAUUAAUGAACUGACUGAACUGCUGUGAAGAGAGAACUGAAGAUGAACACCAAGCCGAGCCAGAUAACGAACAAAAGACUAACUCGUUCUCAAGUCAAGAACCGUUUCCGUCUGAUUCGAGAACCAAGGAGCUGACGAUACUGCACAUGUGUGAUUCAAUGUGAAGCAGACCGACACACAGAGCGUCUGAACCGAACUGAUUCUUUUGGCGAUUGAUUCUGAACUGAUUCUGUGCUAAUUUUAUGAGCCCAGGUAAACCGAAGCCUUGAAUCAAGGGCAAUCAUCGGCAAUGAUGCCAUUAAGUCGAGUGCAAAAGAACCGGUGAACAGUUUUCUUCAACCGGUUUAUUGAAUCGAACUGUCCGAAAGAACUACUGGUGAUCCGCACACUGAUGCGACCGGUUCUUGACUCAAGAACAACUUUUGUUCAUUAUCUGGCUUGGCUCGGUGUUCAUCUUCAGUUCUCUCUUCACAGCAGUUCAGUCAGUGUACUGUUUGAGUAAAUGAUUUACUCUGGGAUAUUCGUUUGUUUUAGCUCAGAGGGAGUGUCAGCCACAUUAAAGGUCCCGUUCUUCGUGAUCCCAUGUUUUAAACUUUAGUUAGUGUGUAAUGUUGUUGUUGUUAGAGUAUAAAUAAUAUCUGUAAAAUUCUAAAGCUCAAAGUUCAAUGCCAAGCGAGAUAUUUUAUUUAACAGAAUUCGGCUACAAAAAACGACCCGUUUGGACUACAUCCCUCUAGUUCCUGCAGUAAUAACGUCACUAAAACGUUUUUUUUGACUAACCUUCGCCCACAUGUAUACGCAAAAAGGAGGGCGUGGUCUUGUUGCUCUCCGACAGAGAAGAGGAAGAGCUGCAUAUGUGUUUAUCGCCAUGUCGUCGAAACGCUGUUAUUUUCAUCUCUGAGUCCAAUCAUCUUGUUUUGGGCUUCCCAGGGAUGCUGUACUUGGAGAUUAAUGGUAACAAUUUAUGUUUAACUCGGUUCCCAAAAUUAUAAUCCACUUGUAAAACUAUGUGCAGCACAUUUUGCUGAGGACAUCGAGCUUCCUCAAUCUCAAUCAGUUUAAUGCCGGAUUCACACAAAGAUUAUUUCUGAAAGAUGGAGCAGUUCCCUCUUUGUCUGGAGGAGGCGUUGUUUAUGGACCACAACCGGUAAGUGUAUUUUAUUAUUUAAGUUGGUGCGUUAAACAGUUUCUGUAACUUAUUACACAGAGGGCAACGCUGUUUAGCUUUGUUAACUAGAUGUUAGUUAACAGUAAAAAUACUGUUUUUUUACACGCGAAACAUGAACACAUGUUAUAUUGCACACUGUAAACACAAUCAAAGCUUCAAAAAAGCACGAAAAAUGGGACCUUUAAAAAAGUUAACAGCUUAAGUCUUUUGUGGAUUAAUGCAUAUUGGAGACGCGAGCCGUUCCAAACGAUUUAGUUCGAUUUGGUGAACUGGUUCAAAAAGAUCCGUUACAUCGAAUAAUUUGUUCGCGAACCGGAUAUUAGGGCUGUUCGAUUCUUUUCCAAUUCUUUUUCAUUUUAUUUUAUUUUUAUCUAUUUAAAAAAAAAUGACAAUACGAAAAUGUUAGUUUUUUCAGCUUUGCCCAUGAAAUUAGUCAUAGUCCAGCUCAGCAGGGACAUGUGUUUGUCACAUGAAUUAAAUAAGACAUGAAGAGUCUAAAAUAAAUAUGUACAGUUCAGCUGAAUGAUGAAAUUUACUUUGUUUACUUUGCACAAUAUUAACAAACUGUACAAUGAAACAAAAUAACCAGAACAUCUAUGACUGAUAGAGCUCAUGGUUUAUCUGUCAAUCAGAUGUGCUCUCGGCCACUGGUCUAUGCUCGUGAUGUAUUCUUUUGUAAUUUCCAUUGGCUGAUAGAAUUGUUUUAAAAAAAAUAGUAUUUUAGAUGGUAAUAAGAUCAAGACCCUAAAUGACGUCAUUAUCUAUUCUGUCAUGCAGCGCUCAAAAAUGUGGACAAGCCAGUUCCACCAUAACUUUAUUUAAUUUUUUAUUUAAAGUAAUCUUUUAUAUCACAACUUUACUAAUUAUGGAUUUGCUGAAUUGUGCUUCUGAAAUGGAAGGCUACAUCCUAAAAUUCAAUUGAUCAGUACUGACUCUUUUUAUUUCUGUUUAUUUUCCUGAAUUUAGAUGUGUGUAGCCUUUGUCGGAUGUAGCCUUCCGUUUGAGAGACUCCCAUAGAUAAUCUUUGUUGAACUGAAAAACACUCUGAAUGAGGAGUCAAUUCCCCUUGAUGGAAUUCCAACCUUUGGAAUCGACGCUCGAUACCCAACUUCUCAGAAUCGAGGAAUCGAUUAUUUUUGGAAUCGAUUUCCAGCCCUACCGGAUAUCACUACACUGUUGUGUUUCGAACUCUAUCACAACAAACACGGAAGAGAAGACAAUGCUGAAUAAAGUCGUAGUUUUGUGCUAUUUUUGAACCAAAAUGUAUUUUUGAUGAUUCAAAAUAUUCUAACUGACCCUCUGAUGUCACAUGGACUACUUUGAUGAUGUUUUUCUUACCUUUCUGGACAUGGACAGUAUACUGUACACACAGCUUCAAUGGAGGGACUGAGAGCUCUCGGACUAAAUCUAAAAUAUCUUAAACUGUGUUCCGAAGAUAAUCCGAGGUCUCACGGGCUUGGAACGAGUUAUUAAUGAAAUCAUUUAGAUUUUUGGGUUAACUAUCCCUUUAAGAAGAAAAUAUGGAUAAACCAAUGCUGUUUAAUGAUGCUAACUCUCAAGAUUUCUCUCAAGAUGUAUAAAAUAAGGGACACAUACACAAAACUGAUUUGGAAUAACAAAAUAUCUAAUUGUUGUCACAAAAGUGUAUGAACUGAAGAAAAAAGCUAAUUUUUGUGCUGACAAACCAGUCAAACUUUUUUGUAAUUCUUAAGGUUUUGAUGUGUAAUUUUGAUUUGUUUGCUUCUUCUUUGCUUGAUUUGUUUUUCAGUCUGUUAAAGCUCAUGAGCAGGCCCACAUGAACUCAGCAAAAAACCUUGAAAUUCAAACGUAAUAAUAGCUUAUCAUUAUCUUGUUCAUUUGAUAUGCUAAUAUCUUUUAAAAAUGUAAAAGAUCAAUGCUUAUAAAAUUUCCAAAGCCAGGUACAGUAACACUUUGCUAUCACAAACAGGAGGCCAGAGUUCACUUGGUUCACCCCCCAACUAAAAUUUGCUGAAUUUUCCAACCCGAGUUUGGACACUACAGAUAAAACAAACAAAAAAAAGCAUUAUGUCACUUCACCAAUGGAUCCUCUGCUGUGAAUGAACGCCAUCAGAAUCCACAAGUAAUACACUUGACUCCAUCAGUUAAUGUCUUCUGAAGUGAAACGAUUUGUGUUUACAAGAAACAAAUCCAUCAAGGCAUUUUUUUUAUCUUUGCUUGAUCUGAUUCAAACAAGAUGACUUUCACAGUGGAAAUAAUAAAUAUUUUGGAUAGAGAAUUUUUAUUUUAGCUGGAAGCAGCAGUUUGAAGUUAAAAACAUCUUGAUGGAUAUGUUUCCUGACUGGAUUAAUUGUGGGUCAUUGUGAUGUUUUUAUCAGCUGUUUAGACUCUCAUUCUGACAGCACCCAUUCACUGCAGAGGAAUUAUUGGUAAGCAAAUUAUACUAAAUUUCUCCAGAUCUGUUCCCAUGAAGAAACAAACUCAUCUACUUCUUGGAUGGCCUGAGAGUGAGUACAUUUUCAGCAAAUUUUAAUUUUGGGGUGAACUAUUUCUUUAAUACACAAUGUAUAUAUAUAUAUAUAUGGACAGAUAAACGUUCAGCUGUCCAUUUAGUUUCCAUUCAUCUUCUGGAUCAAUAAUUAGACAAAUGUUAGCAUGAAAAAUAAAUUGUUAUGCAAAAAAAAAUAAAAAAAUAAAAAAACAAUCAAUUCAUCUGUAACCACUAGUUUCUUAAAUGUUGCAUAAUAUUACUGAAAAAAUGUAAAGAUAAUGCUCACCAAAAGUGAAAACCUACUCUAGGUGCUAUUUUGGCACAAAAAACAGUAUAUUUUACUUACCGUGGCCUACUCGUGAGCAAGUGUAUUAAUUUUUGAAAGAGAUGUUUAUUAUUUUAAAAGGAAUUAUAGUUUUACACAAUUUUACAAUAAGAAUCUUAUUUUCUAUUUUUGUAUAUACAGUAUUAAGUAUUAAGAUAAAAUCAAAUAAUAGAUUGUUUAGAAAUUGUGCAGCGAUUUUGUUUGAUCUGCCUUUUUAUUUUUUG